rnacentral:rRNA from 1 species
CCUACGGGGGGCAGCAGUGAGGAAUAUUGGUCAAUGGACGAGAGUCUGAACCAGCCAAGUAGCGUGAAGGAUGACUGCCCUAUGGGUUGUAAACUUCUUUUAUAUGGGAAUAAAACGUUCCACGUGUGGGAUUUUGUAUGUACCCUAUGAAUAAGGAUCGGCUAACUCCGUGCCAGCAGCCGAGGUAAUACGGAGGAUCCGAGCGUUAUACGGCAUUUUUGGGUUUUAAGGGAGCGUAGGUGGAUUGUUAAGUGAGUUGGGAAAGUGUGCGGCUCAACCGUAAAAUUGCAGUUGAAACUGGCGGUCUUGAGUACAGUAGAGGUGGGCGGAAUUCGUGGUGUAGCGGUGAAAUGCUUAGAUAUCACGAAGAACUCCGAUUGCGAAGGCAGCUCACUGGACUGCAACUGACACUGAGGCUCGAAAGUGUGGGUAUCAAACAGGAUUAGAUACCCCAGUAGUC